CGCAACGAGUUCUGAUUAUUGAAAGGUGCUUGCAUCUUGAUUUAAUUUUGAACGAGUGGCGGACGGGUGAGUAACACGUGGGUAACCUGCCCUUAAGUGGGGGAUAACAUUUGGAAACAGAUGCUAAUACCGCAUAAAUCCAAGAACCGCAUGGUUCUUGGCUGAAAGAUGGCGUAAGCUAUCGCUUUUGGAUGGACCCGCGGCGUAUUAGCUAGUUGGUGAGGUAACGGCUCACCAAGGCAAUGAUACGUAGCCGAACUGAGAGGUUGAUCGGCCACAUUGGGACUGAGACACGGCCCAAACUCCUACGGGAGGCAGCAGUAGGGAAUCUUCCACAAUGGACGCAAGUCUGAUGGAGCAACGCCGCGUGAGUGAAGAAGGCUUUCGGGUCGUAAAACUCUGUUGUUGGAGAAGAAUGGUCGGCAGAGUAACUGUUGUCGGCGUGACGGUAUCCAACCAGAAAGCCACGGCUAACUACGUGCCAGCAGCCGCGGUAAUACGUAGGUGGCAAGCGUUAUCCGGAUUUAUUGGGCGUAAAGCGAGCGCAGGCGGUUUUUUAAGUCUGAUGUGAAAGCCCUCGGCUUAACCGAGGAAGUGCAUCGGAAACUGGGAAACUUGAGUGCAGAAGAGGACAGUGGAACUCCAUGUGUAGCGGUGAAAUGCGUAGAUAUAUGGAAGAACACCAGUGGCGAAGGCGGCUGUCUGGUCUGUAACUGACGCUGAGGCUCGAAAGCAUGGGUAGCGAACAGGAUUAGAUACCCUGGUAGUCCAUGCCGUAAACGAUGAAUGCUAGGUGUUGGAGGGUUUCCGCCCUUCAGUGCCGCAGCUAACGCAUUAAGCAUUCCGCCUGGGGAGUACGACCGCAAGGUUGAAACUCAAAGGAAUUGACGGGGGCCCGCACAAGCGGUGGAGCAUGUGGUUUAAUUCGAAGCAACGCGAAGAACCUUACCAGGUCUUGACAUCUUUUGAUCACCUGAGAGAUCAGGUUUCCCCUUCGGGGGCAAAAUGACAGGUGGUGCAUGGUUGUCGUCAGCUCGUGUCGUGAGAUGUUGGGUUAAGUCCCGCAACGAGCGCAACCCUUAUGACUAGUUGCCAGCAUUUAGUUGGGCACUCUAGUAAGACUGCCGGUGACAAACCGGAGGAAGGUGGGGAUGACGUCAAAUCAUCAUGCCCCUUAUGACCUGGGCUACACACGUGCUACAAUGGAUGGUACAACGAGUUGCGAGACCGCGAGGUCAAGCUAAUCUCUUAAAGCCAUUCUCAGUUCGGACUGUAGGCUGCAACUCGCCUACACGAAGUCGGAAUCGCUAGUAAUCGCGGAUCAGCACGCCGCGGUGAAUACGUUCCCGGGCCUUGUACACACCGCCCGUCACACCAUGAGAGUUUGUAACACCCGAAGCCGGUGGCGUAACCCUUUUAGGGAGCGAGCC
rnacentral:rRNA from 1 species